UACGUAGGAUCCAAGCGUUGUCCGGAUUUACUGGGUGUAAAGGGUGCGCAGGCGGGCUCGUUAGUCAGGAGUGAAAUCUCGGCGCUUAACGCCGAAACUGCUUUUGAUACUGCGGGCCUUGAAUCAGCGAGAGACGUGUGGAAUUCCGAGUGUAGCAGUGAAAUGUGUAGAUAUUCGGAAGAACACCAGUGGCGAAGGCAGCACGUUGGCGCUCGAUUGACGCUCAGGCACGAAAGCAUGGGGAUCAAACAGG
rnacentral:rRNA from 1 species